rnacentral:rRNA from 1 species
UGAUAGUAUUUCUUUAAAUUCAGCAUGUCGUAAGGGAAAAUAAUGAUAUUACCUUACUAUGAGUGUCGUCCAAAGCUGGUGCCAGAAGACUCGGUAAGACCAGAGACGCAAACGUUAAUCAUCUUAAACAGGCGUAAAGGGUUUGUAGGCAGCUUUCAUAAUAUUAUUUCUUACAAAAAUAAAGAAGUGGUCUGAUUGAAAGCUAGAAUCAAAAAGAGGUUAUAGUGUAUAACGCCUAGAGGAGGGCUGAUAUCCUUAGAUCCUAGGCAGAAUACUUAGGGCGAAGGCCACUCUCCACUAAUGAUUGACGCUGAGAAACGAAGGUAAGGGUAGGAAAUAGGAUUAGAUACCCCGGUACUCCUUUCUGUAAACGAUGAAUGGUAGUCAUUAGUAAAAUUAAAAAUUACUAGAGACGAAGUUAACACAAUAACCAUUCCGCCUUGUGAGUACAACUGCAAAGUAGAAAACAAAAAAAUUAGUCGGUCUCGAAGCAAACGGAGUGAAGCAUGUUAUUUA